rnacentral:pre_miRNA from 1 species
AGCCUAUCACACUCCUGUCCAAUACGAAUUUUGUAUGGGACGGAAGUCUGAAAGGGUUA